rnacentral:lncRNA from 1 species
GGGCCCUGCGGGGAUCCGCCGGCAGAAGAUGGCGCCAGGCCCCGCGGCCGGGGGUCCGGGUCCGGGUCCGGGUCGGGCUUAGGCUCGGUCUCCGUCUCCCCCGCCGCCGACGCCGCCGCCUCUGCCCGGCUGGAAGGCGCUGGAACAGCUCGGCCGCGCCGCCAGAAAUAGCCCCGCGCCCCGCCCCGCCGGGCCCUGCUCCCGCCUGCUGGGGACAGCCGUGCUGGCAGCCCGCAGCCCCGUCUUCCAACUCCGCGCUUUAACUGGGAAAAACUCCGCUCGUUCCUAUAUCCAUCAUCACUAUGAAAGAAAGGGCUCAGGCCUGGCCUCCACGGUCCAUUUGGCUGCUUCUCCGCCAGCAUCUUCUCUCCUGCUCCCUCGGGACAAAACAGCCUGCUUGCCUGACCCAAAUGGUCCAGCCCUGCCGUUCAAAUCCUCUCCGAGAACAACACAAGGCCCAUGGUAAGUUGCCAAGCAAUGAUGGCGUGUUGGGCAGCUCACAGGAACGACUGGUCUCAGCAACAGCAUUUGUUGGGACUGUUUCAAAAUUUGACUCGAACAUUGCAAACUGCACAGGUGCGAGCGGAUCCAACCAUAUGUUCUUCUCCCAGCAAGCUUUGUCCUUUCUUCCUUCCUUUCUUCCAUCUUGCGCUUCUCCUGUAAGGAACACGGGACUGGAAGGGAUCUCCCAAGCCAUUGAAGGCAACUCUUUGUCCAAAAAGCAUCCGCAAGACCAUCUUCUGGUGCCUCAGAGACAGAAAACACCUGAUUAAAAAAAAGGGAGGGGGACCAAAACCUGCCACAAGAGAACAGGAGAAACACAGGCAUCACCAGUGCCUCUUGGGUUAUAUUCAAUAUAUGGCACCAGAACUUAUGGUGGCAAAGAACAGGCAAGCAGCCACCACUGUCGAAGUGAUGGCCGUCACUGGCUAAAUAGUAUUAGAACUUCCAUCACAAGAUCACUUUUGUGAGCAGCUCGUGGUCCCAAUUCUCAAACCAUUUCAUAUGUAUUUAAGACUACUUUGGUCCCAUUUACAGCUCAUGUUCUAAGCAGGCAACACAAACAAUUAGGGGGGAAAAAAGACAGCAUUAUAACUCAUUUUGCACCUGUAUCAUGACUUGUUCCAAGUCAGUCAGGAAGUCUGUGGCAAGGGCAGGAAUUAGAUCCAUAUCUCAUAAAGUCCCUCCUUUCAGUAGCAAAUUAUCUGAAUGAUCUAGAGAGCUCAUUGAUACCACUUUAUAAAUGGUUAUGCAUGUAAAGGGAACAGAGCCCCAAUAUGCAGUGAUAGAGCCAUAGAUAGGUUUGUUUUACAAACCAAAAUUGGAUUGGAAGCUUUUCUCCAUUUAAAUUAAACAUUAGCAAAGCUUUUUGUUUGAAUGUAAAUGUUUUGGAAACCCCUUGCAUCUCUACGCUGUUGCAGAAGAAUCGGGAACAGAAAGUGCCAAGCUCAUUUUCUUACCCAAGCUGCAAGACAUGCAAAGAGUCAACAAGCAGAAAUAAUAGCAAGAAGUAUAUUGCACUGUAAAAUGACUUGGAAGAAUAUAAGCAGGAACGCUGCUUUUAAAUGGCAGGAAUGCUGGAAAACCUAUCUGUUUCCUUAAAGUCCACCCGGUACAUUAUCACUGUGGUUGUGCUCAGGGACCUCAGUCAGGGACCAGAGCCCUGGUGUGCCAGGCUGGCACUGUCCAAAUAUAAGGAAGUGCCUCAUGGUGAAAGGACAAUGAAGUUUACUUUUACCGGCUGUUGUUUUCCUGAGUCCAGAGCACUUCAGG